rnacentral:rRNA from 1 species
UUGAUCUCAAAUCAGGCAGGAUUACCCGCUGAACUUAAGCAUAUCAAUAAGCGGAGGA